UACAUUUAAAAAACAGUCAAUAGGACAGUGCAAUAGAAACUCAGUAUCUGGCAUCGUUGGUUUUCUUGGCUUCGUGCAUGUUAAACCUGGUAUUUUUACUGAAACAGUA